ensembl:lncRNA
GCAGAAGGCGGAAGAGAGACCGUGCUCGGGGGGGAAAAGGACCAGCGUGGUCACGAGGCUCUGAGUGCGAUCGCUUCACCAGAGCACAAUUUAAAAUACUGCUCUUACCACAAGUGACAGUAUUCGUGCCUUGAGGUGAACAGGAGGAGUAGACGGGGGUCCAGUCCAUGUGACAAUAACAACUUCAUCCAAACCACAGCAGUGAAAGCAGAAGCUGUGCGGUGGCCUUCAUGUGCAUUCGUGCCAUUUUUAUUCCGAGCUGUGACUCCAACGGAGAAAUGCAACAUCUUUCACAGAUUUGUGCGUUCUGGGUUACCGUAGCAACACGACGGCAAAACAGGUUUAGCGAUGAAGACUUGCAGUUUCAGGUGAUAAGCACAUAAUUAUAAAUAUUCAAUUACUGAUAAUACUACACUACUAUACUAUAAUACUACACACUGGUCCCUUAAUAGGCGUUUGCCGAUCAUAAUCAAUAGAAUGGUUGCUUAUAGGUCUUGUUCUUUAACACACAGCAACAUAUAUGACAGGAUUUGAUGAAGGUGAGACUGCAGAUAAGACCUGCAUGGGAUUGGAAGUGUCAAAGCUGAUUGAUUGAUUUGGGUAAAUAUUGUUAAAUUCAAUGAUGUAAUAAUGUAGAUACGGGUAUUUUAGAGGCAAGGAGGGGUUUGCUCGUUUUCGAAGCGUUGUGUUUUAUACUGUAUUGUAUG